AGAGUUUGAUCCUGGCUCAGAGCGAACGCUGGCGGAAUGCUUAACACAUGCAAGUCGCACGCCCCGGCAACGGGGAGUGGCGGACGGGUGAGGAACGCGUAGGAACAUGUCCAGAGGUGGGGGACAACCCUGGGAAACCGGGGCUAAUACCGCAUACGGCCCGAGGGCCAAAGCCGAAAGGCGCCUUUGGAGUGGCCUGCGUCCGAUUAGCUUGUUGGCGGGGUAACGGCCCACCAAGGCGACGAUCGGUAGCUGGUCUGAGAGGAUGAUCAGCCACACUGGGACUGAGACACGGCCCAGACUCCUACGGGAGGCAGCAGUGGGGAAUAUUGGGCAAUGGGCGCAAGCCUGACCCAGCAAUUCCGCGUGGGUGAAGAAGGUCUUCGGAUUGUAAAGCCCUUUCGGUGGGGACGAUGGUGACGGUACCCGCAGAAGAAGCCCCGGCUAACUUCGUGCCAGCAGCCGCGGUAAUACGAAGGGGGCUAGCGUUGCUCGGAAUCAUUGGGCGUAAAGGGCGCGUAGGCGGCGCAGCUAGUCAGGCGUGAAACCCCCGGGCUCAACCCGGGGACUGCGUUUGAUACGGCUGUGCUAGAGGAUGGAAGAGGGCCGCGGAAUUCCCAGUGUAGAGGUGAAAUUCGUAGAUAUUGGGAAGAACACCGGUGGCGAAGGCGGCGGCCUGGUCCAUUACUGACGCUGAGGCGCGACAGCGUGGGGAGCAAACAGGAUUAGAUACCCCAGUAGUCC
rnacentral:rRNA from 1 species